AACUCUUUGCUUGGUGAAACUAAGAUAAUACCAAAUAAACUGAUUAACAUCUGGGAGAAGGAAUUAAAUUUGAUGAUUCCCUUUAAUGACUGGCUAGCCUCGUUAAUAAAAGUAAAUAAAUAUAUACAUUGUCUAACCCUGACUGAGUGCCAUUUUAAGGUAGUUCAUAGAUGGUAUUUCACUCCAACAAGAUUGACAAAAAUGUAUCAAUCAUAUGAUUCCACUUACUGGAGAUGUGGCUUGUCUCUGGGCACAUAUAUGCAUAUUUGGUGAGAUUGCCCAUUAGUUAAACCCUUGUGGAUAUGGGCAUUUAAUUCCAUCUAUGCAGUUACAGGUAUUAGACUCAAUCAAAACCCGGACACCACCCUUUUACACUUGAAUUGGCAGUUAAAAUCGAAAGAACACACAUGUUAUGCUAUACAUUGUUUUGUUGCGGUCAAAAUCAAUAUAGCCAGACAUUGGAAGUCCUCAAAUUUUUUCCAGAAAUCUUGUUUUAUUGAUCAAAUUAUAUUUCAGUUAACAAUGGAAAAAGAUAUUGGUAUGGUAUUCUAAUUGGCUUCAUAAACUUACCCAUAUUUAAUGGUAACAAAUUUAUGGCUCGUGUCUCUUAUUUAUAUAACAAGGGGAAAAAAUGGACAAGAAAAGGGCAAAGAAAAGGAUAGGAAGAGGAAAGAAAAGGGAAGAA